rnacentral:rRNA from 1 species
AAAGGAAUAGACGGGGGCCCGCACAAGCGGUGGAGCAUGUGGUUUAAUUCGAUGGUACGCGAAAAACCUUACCUGGGCUUGACAUACGUUUGACCGGAGCAGAGAUGUUCUUUUCCCUUCGGGGACAGACGUACAGGUGCUGCAUGGCUGUCGUCAGCUCGUGUUGUGAGAUGUUGGGUUAAGUCCCGCAACGAGCGCAACCCUUACUAUUAGUUGCCAUCAGGGUAAUGCCUGGGCACUCUAUUAGAACUGCCGGUGACAAACCGGAGGAAGGUGGGGAUGACGUCAAGUCCUCAUGGCCCUUAUGUCCAGGGCUACACACGUGCUACAAUGGGCUGUACAGAGGGUAGCAAUCUCGCGAGAGGGAGCCAAUCCCAAAAAGCAGUCCGUAGUUCAGAUUGGAGUCUGCAACUCGACUCCAUGAAGUUGGAAUCGCUAGUAAUCACAGAUCAGCAUGCUGUGGUGAAUACGUUCCCGGGCCUUGUACACACCGCCCGU